UACGUAGGGGGCAAGCGUUGUCCGGAAUCAUUGGGCGUAAAGCGCGCGUAGGCGGCCCGGUAAGUCCGCUGUAAAAGUCCAGGGCUCAACCCUGGAAAGCCGGUGGAUACUGUCGGGCUAGAGUCCGGAAGAGGCGAGUGGAAUUCCUGGUGUAGCGGUGGAAUGCGCAGAUAUCAGGAGGAACACCGAUGGCGAAGGCAGCUUCCUGGCCUGUAACUGACGCUGAGACGCGAAAGCGUGGGGAGCGAACCGG
rnacentral:rRNA from 1 species